rnacentral:rRNA from 1 species
UACGUAGGUGGCAAGCGUUGUCCGGAAUUAUUGGGCGUAAAGCGCGCGCAGGCGGUCCUUUAAGUCUGAUGUGAAAGCCCACGGCUCAACCGUGGAGGGUCAUUGGAAACUGGGGGACUUGAGUGCAGGAGAGAAGAGUGGAAUUCCACGUGUAGCGGUGAAAUGCGUAGAGAUGUGGAGGAACACCAGUGGCGAAGGCGGCAUUCUGGACCGAUAUUGACGCUGAGGAGCGAAAGCCAGGGGAGCAAACGGG